UGUCGUGGUGGAGCAGCCCGGUAGCUCGCAUGGCUCAUAACCAUGAGGCCGGUGGUUCGAAUCCACCCUCCGCAACCA
rnacentral:tRNA from 1 species